rfam:Haloarcula marismortui ATCC 43049 chromosome I, complete sequence.
GGCAGCGGGAGGCCGGCUCCCGUGGCGCAAGCCAUGAGGAAAGUCCCCCCACCUGUCGGACAGGUGACCGGGCGCAAGCCCGGGGCGGGAGACCGUCGGCUCUGGAACAGCAACGACACGUCGUCGCCGGACCGAUGAGGUGUGCGAAUCCCGAGCGAGGCUGGUCGUGCCCCACCAGACGGUGCGGCACGCGGCCAAAGCGAGGGAGAGCUAACCCACCGAGGGCAGUCGCGACCCGGUGACUCCGGGGCGCGCGUUCGUGGACCACAGUUGUGCUCCACACGUGGGCCGUCUGAGACGCCCCACGCAUUCCGUGGGCCAUCUUCGAUGCCCCACGCUUCCGGCGACGGACCGAUGGAACGGCGAAACCUCACCGGUGCAAGGCCGCGUCGACAGGUAGUCCGACGCCGCGCGCAAGCGCUGGACGUGGCCGCUCAGCCGAAUGCUGGCCCGAACAGAAGGGGGCUUACUCCCCGCAGCC